rnacentral:tRNA from 2 species
UUUCCUUAGGUGUUCUGCACAAGAAUAUUUGAGAUUCUUAGAGGGUAUAAUCCAAGGAAAA